AACGAACGCUGGCGGCAGGCCUAACACAUGCAAGUCGAACGCCGUAGCAAUACGGAGUGGCAGACGGGUGAGUAACGCGUGGGAACAUACCCCUCGGUUCGGAAUAACUCAGGGAAACUUGAGCUAAUACCGGAUACGUCCGAUGUUUUAAUUCGACCUUGGAGAAAGAUUUAUCGCCGGAGGAUUGGCCCGCGUCUGAUUAGCUUGUUGGUGAGGUAAUGGCUCACCAAGGCGACGAUCAGUAGCUGGUCUGAGAGGAUGAUCAGCCACAUUGGGACUGAGACACGGCCCAAACUACCUACGGGAGGCAGCAGUGGGGAAUAUUGGACAAUGGCGAAAGCCUGAUCCAGCCAUGCCGCGUGAGUGAUGAA
rnacentral:rRNA from 1 species